rnacentral:lncRNA from 1 species
AGAGUAAAAUAUUAACCUCCUAGGGUCCAUCUUGCUUCCUGAAAACUGCUGGACAGGAUUUGUAGUGCAUCUAUGUGCCUGCAGGACUAAGCAAGCACAGACAGCUCUGAGCUGGCUUUGCACUAAACCAGAGCUCCUACAGAAGAGCCCUCUUAUGACUACCUGAGAAGAACAUUACAUCCAUAGUGGAAAAGAACAUCGCUUUUUAAAGAGGAUUUGCUUUCUCCGAAACGAACUGAAAACCGGGUAUGAAUGGUGUGCCAGCCUGGUGAUGACGGCGACCCUGAAGGCGUCCAUCUCCCUUCUGAAGAAACACCGUGCUGGGGUGAGUAGGUGAAA